CACAAGCGGUGGAGCAUGUGGUUAAUUCGAAGCAACGCGAAGAACCUUACCAGGCCUUGACAUGCAGAGAACUUUCCAGAGAUGGAUUGGUGCCUUCGGGAACUCUGACACAGGUGCUGCAUGGCUGUCGUCAGCUCGUGUCGUGAGAUGUUGGGUUAAGUCCCGUAACGAGCGCAACCCUUGUCCUUAGUUACCAGCACGUUAUGGUGGGCACUCUAAGGAGACUGCCGGUGACAAACCGGAGGAAGGUGGGGAUGGCGUCAAGUCAUCAUGGCCCUUACGGCCUGGGCUACACACGUGCUACAAUGGUCGGUACAAAGGGUUGCCAAGCCGCGAGGUGGAGCUAAUCCCAUAAAACCGAUCGUAGUCCGGAUCGCAGUCUGCAACUCGACUGCGUGAAGUCGGAAUCGCUAGUAAUCGUGAAUCAGAAUGUCACGGUGAAUACGUUCCCGGGCCUU
rnacentral:rRNA from 1 species